rnacentral:pre_miRNA from 1 species
CCACUUUAACCUUUUAAAGUACAGUCACCCUCAGAUAUGGGUGGGUGACUGUACUUUAAAAGGUUAAAAUGG